GACAUAGGUGGCGAACGUUAUCCGGAUUUAUUGGGCGUAAAAGGAUGCGUAGAUGGUGGAAUAAGUUGUUGGUCAAAAUCGAGCUCAACUUGAUGGAAGCUGAUAAUACUGUUCUGCUUGAGGACAGGAGAGGUUAGCGGAACUCUAUGCGUAGGGGUGAAAUCCAUUGAUCUAUAGAGGACCACCAAAAAAAGGCGAAGGCAGCUAACUAUUCUGCUCCUGACAUUGAGGCAUGAAAGCGUGGGGAGCAAAACGG
rnacentral:rRNA from 1 species